rnacentral:rRNA from 1 species
CAGCAGCCACGGGAAAACGGAGGGGGCUAGCGUUGUUCGGAAUUACUGGGCGUAAAGCGCACGUAGGCGGCUUGGUAAGUUAGAGGUGAAAGCCCAGGGCUCAACCCUGGAAUUGCCUUUAAGACUGCCGAGCUAGUAGGUGAGAGAGGUAAGUGGAAUUCCGAGUGUAGAGGUGAAAUUCGUAGAUAUUCGGAAGAACACCAGUGGCGAAGGCGGCUUACUGGCUCAUUCUAGACGCUGAGGUGCGAAAGCGUGGGGAGCAAACAGGAUUAGAUACCCGCGUAGUCCCUGUCUCUUAUAC